GGCCAUGUGGCCCAAUGGCAAGGCGCUUGACUACGAUUUACGUCCCAAUCAAGAGAUUCCAGGUAUGAUACAUAAUUACGCGAUCACGUGAUCACGCUAAAAUCGCAUCAGGUUCGACCCCUGGCAUGGUCA